GCUGGGCAUGGUGGUGUGUAUCUGUAAUCUCAGAGACUCAGGAGGCUGAGGCAGGAGGAUUGCAAGUUCAAAGCCAGCCUCAGUAACUUACUGAGACCUCAGCAAUUUAGCAGGACCCUGUCUCAA
rnacentral:sRNA from 1 species